GCCGAUAUGGAAUAAAGGUAUUUCAGUAGCUUGCUAAGCUAUCCAACAAAAUUGUUGUGCAGGUUCGAUUCCUGCUGUCGGCG
rnacentral:tRNA from 2 species